rnacentral:rRNA from 1 species
AGAGCGAACGCUGGCGGCAGGCCUAACACAUGCAAGUCGAACGAGCCUUCGGGCUAGUGGCGGACGGGUGAGUAACACGUGGGAACGUACCUUUAGGUUCGGAAUAACGCAGAGAAAUUUGCGCUAAUACCGAAUGUGCCCUUCGGGGGAAAGAUUUAUCGCCUUUAGAGCGGCCCGCGUUAGAUUAGCUAGUUGGUGAGGUAAAGGCUCACCAAGGCUACGAUCUAUAGCUGGUCUGAGAGGAUGAUCAGCCACAUUGGGACUGAGACACGGCCCAAACUCCUACGGGAGGCAGCAGUGGGGAAUCUUGCGCAAUGGGCGAAAGCCUGACGCAGCCAUGCCGCGUGAAUGAUGAAGGUCUUAGGAUUGUAAAAUUCUUUCAGCAGGGACGAUAAUGACGGUACCUGCAGAAGAAGCCCCGGCUAACUUCGCGCCAGCAGCCGC